rnacentral:rRNA from 1 species
CUACGGGAGGCUGCAGUGAGGAAUAUUGCACAAUGGGGGAGACCCUGAUGCAGCAACGCCGCGUGGAGGAUGACGCAUUUCGGUGUGUAAACUCCUUUUAUGUGUCAAGAAAAUGACGGUAGCACAUGAAUAAGCACCGGCUAACUCCGUGCCAGCAGCCGCGGUAAUACGGAGGGUGCAAGCGUUACUCGGAAUCACUGGGCGUAAAGGACGCGUAGGCGGGCUUGUAAGUCAGGUGUGAAAUCCUACAGCUUAACUGUAGAACUGCACUUGAAACUACGAGCCUAGAGUAUGGGAGGGGCAGAUGGAAUUAGUGGUGUAGGGGUAAAAUCCGUAGAUAUCACUAGGAAUACCGAAAGCGAAGGCGAUCUGCUGGAACAUUACUGACGCUAAGGCGUGAAAGCGUGGGGAGCAAACGGGAUUAGAUACCCGCGUAGUC